rnacentral:rRNA from 1 species
AGUGAACGCUGGCGGUAUGCCUAACACAUGCAAGUCGAACGGCAGCACAGUAAGAGCUUGCUCUUACGGGUGGCGAGUGGCGGACGGGUGAGGAAUACAUCGGAAUCUACUUUUUCGUGGGGGAUAAUGUAGGGAAACUUAUGCUAAUACCGCAUACGACCUACGGGUGAAAGCAGGUGAUCUAUGGACUUUGCGCGAUUGAAUGAGCCGAUGUCGGAUUAGCUAGUUGGCGGGGUAAAGGCGCACCAAGGCGACGAUCCGUAGCUGGUCUGAGAGGGAGAUCAGCCAGACGGGAACUGAGACACGGCCCAGACUCCGACGGGAGGAAGCGGUGGGGACUAUUGGACAAGGCAGGAAAGCCGAAUCCAGCAAUACCGCGUAGUUGAAGAAGGCCUUCGGGUUGUAAAGCCCUUUUGUUGGGAAAGAAAUUCAGCAGGUUAAUACCCCGCUGUUCUGACGGUACCCAAAGAAUAAGCACCGGCUAACUUCGUG